CCUACGGGUGGCAGCAGUGGGGAAUAUUGCACAAUGGGGGAAACCCUGAUGCAGCGACGCCGCGUGAGUGAAGAAGUAAUUCGUUACGUAAAGCUCUAUCAGCAGGGAAGAAACACUUACCUUACGGUCAGCAGACGGUACCUGAGUAAGAAGCACCGGCUAACUACGUGCCAGCAGUCGCGGUAAUACGUAGGGGGCAAGCGUUAUCCGGAUUUACUGGGUGUAAAGGGAGCGUAGACGGUGCGCCAAGUCUGGAGUGAAAUGCCGGAGCUUAACUGCGGAACUGCUUUGGAAACUGGCGAACUAGAGUGCGGGAGGGGUAAGCGGAAUUCCUAGUGUAGCGGUGAAAUGCGUAGAUAUUAGGAGGAACACCGGUGGCGAAGGCAGCUUACUGGACCGUAACUGACGUUGAGGCUCGAAAGCGUGGGGAGCAAACAGGAUUAGAUACCCGGGUAGUC
rnacentral:rRNA from 1 species